UUUGCAUUUUCCUGUCUUCCAUAUCGACCACCUGUGGACACCAAGCUCCUGUAGCCGCUCCUUUGAUACUUCUCUCUCUACUCUCACGUUGUAGAGCUCUUCUGGUGGCUUAUCCACCUUCAUCGCCCAGAGGAGAUAAUUUGG